UCCGAUAUGGUGUAACGGCUAACAUUGCCGCCUUUCACAUCCCAUAAAGUUCGAUUCCGCGGCAGCUCGGGGUUCGAUUCCCCGUAUCGGAA